rnacentral:rRNA from 1 species
AGUGAACGCUGGCGGUAGGCCUAACACAUGCAAGUCGAACGGCAGCACAGAGGAGCUUGCUCCUUGGGUGGCGAGUGGCGGACGGGUGAGGAAUACAUCGGAAUCUACUCUGUCGUGGGGGAUAACGUAGGGAAACUUACGCUAAUACCGCAUACGACCUACGGGUGAAAGCAGGGGACCUUCGGGCCUUGCGCGAUUGAAUGAGCCGAUGUCGGAUUAGCUAGUUGGCGGGGUAAAGGCCCACCAAGGCGACGAUCCGUAGCGGGUCUGAGGGGAUGAUCAGCCACACUGGAACUGAGACACGGUCCAGACUCCUACGGGAGGCAGCAGUGGGGAAUAUUGGACAAUGGGCGCAAGCCUGAUCCAGCCAUACCGCGUGGGUGAAGAAGGCCUUCGGGUUGUAAAGCCCUUUUGUUGGGAAAGAAAUCCAGCUGGCUAAUACCCGGUUGGGGUGACGGUACCCAAAGAAUAAGCACCGGCUAACUUCGUGCCAGCAGCCGCCGUAA